UCCAGAGUAUGCAAUGACUGGCAAGUUAACAACAAUGUCGGAUGUUUACAGCUUCGGUGUGGUUUUUCUUGAACUUAUUACGGGAAGAAGGGCCAUCGACACUGCAAAACCACCCAGUCAACAAAAUCUUGUUCAAUGGGUAAACAAAUUAGCAAAUAAUCAAUAUAUGUAUGUAUGUAUUAUGAAUGGAUGUGUAUUCAAAUUCCAAAUUUGAAAUUUCAGGCAGAGCCCUUGUUCAAGGAUAAGAGGUUAUUUGUGAAAAUGGUAGAUCCAUUACUUGAAGACAAUUUUCCAAUGAAGGGCUUGUUUCAAGCCUUGGCCGUGGCUGCAAUGUGCCUUCAAGAGGAAGCGACGACACGCCCAUUGAUGAGUGAUGUUGUCACUGCAUUAGAAUAUCUUACCGUUCCAGAUAACACAAAC
rnacentral:lncRNA from 1 species